AUACGUAGGGGGCGAGCGUUGUCCGGAAUGAUUGGGCGUAAAGGGCGCGUAGGCGGCCUGUUAAGUCUGGAGUGAAAGUCCUGGUGUCAAGAUGGGAAUUGCGUUGGAUACUGAUGGGCUUGAGUGCAGGAGAGGUUAUCGGAAUUUCCGGUGUAGCGGUGAAAUGCGUAGAUAUCGGGAGGAACGACAGCGGCGAAAGCGGGCGACUGGCGCAUCCCUGACGCUGAGGUGCGAAAGCUGGGGGAGCAAACAGGAUUAGAUCCCCUGGUAGUCCCAGCCGUAAACGAUGGACACUAGAUGGAGGGGGGCUUGCCUUUCUCUGUCGCAGCUAACGCGCUAAGUGUCCCGCCUGGGGAGUACGGCCGCAAGAUUAAAACUCAAAUGAAUUGACGG
rnacentral:rRNA from 1 species